rnacentral:rRNA from 1 species
CCCUUAGAUGCUCUGGGCCGCACGCGCGCUACACUGGUCGAUGCAACGAGUUUCUUUCCUUGGCCGACAGGCCUGGGCAAUCUUUGAACAUCGAUCGUGAUCGGGAUAGAUUCUUGUAAUUUUUGAUCUUAAACGAGGAAUUCCUAGUAAACGCAAGUCAUCAGCUUGCAUUGAUUACGUCCCUGCCCUUUGUACACACCGCCCGUCGACUCUACCGAUUGAAUGGUUCGGUGAAAACUUUGGACUGUGGCAUUGUCCUUCAUUGGACUUCGCCGUAGGAAAUUGUUUAAACCUCAUCAUUUAGAGGAAGAAUAAGUCGUAACA